rnacentral:rRNA from 1 species
AUUGAACGCUGGCGGCAGGCCUAACAAAUGCAAGUAGAACGAGUGGCGGAAGGGUGAGUAAUGUCUGGGAAACUGCCAGAUGGAGGGGGAUAACUACGGGAAAAGGUAGCUAAUACCGCAUACAAUCGGAUGGGCCCAGAUGGGAUUAGCUAGUAGGGGGGGUAACGGCUAACCUAGGCGACGAUCCCUAGCUGGCCUGAGAGGAGGACCAGCCACACUGGAACUGAGACACGGUCCAGACUCCUACGGGAGGCAGCAGUGGGGAAUAUUGCACAAUGGGCGCAAGCCUGAUGCAGCCAUGCCGCGUGUAUGAAGAAGGCCUUCGGGUUGUAAAGUACUUUCAGCGAGGAGGCGUUACUCGCAGAAGAAGCACCGGCUAACUCCGUGCCAGCCGCCGCGGUAAUAC